UAGGGAAUCCUCCACAAUGGACGCAAGUCUGAUGGAGCAACGCCGCGUGAGUGAAGAAGGUUUUCGGAUCGUAAAGCUCUGUUGUUGGUGAAGAAGGAUAGAGGCAGUAACUGGUCUUUAUUUGACGGUAAUCAACCAGAAAGUCACGGCUAACUACGUGCCAC
rnacentral:rRNA from 1 species